rnacentral:lncRNA from 1 species
CAGACACUGAUGUCACUGCCUAGGAGACAUUGGCAAAGACAGUGGGUCAACUGCAGAACUGGAGUGAGGGGAGACAACAGGUCGGCUUACCAUCUGAGUCCUUCUGAUUGGGAUUGGGUACCAGGCGGCAGUUAUCGGGACCAGGAGGCACAUAAUCUGGGAUGCCAUCAUUGUCAUCAUCCCCAUCACACUCAUCUCCAAGUCCAUCGUUAUCAGAGUCCAGCUGGGAGCUAUUUGGCAGCUGUGGGCAGUUGUCCUUGGUGUCCUGAUGCCCAUCCCCAUCGCUAAUCAGAAGAACAGGUUGGUGAAAGUCCCGAACUUUGUCUCCCCACCCAGAGGACAACUGGCCAGGAAAUCUGCCUGUUUCUUGUCUCACCCUCUAGUCCACACUCUGCCUAACACUACGCCCUACCUCACAUUCCUAUUGACAUCUGCUGCAGGUAAUCUCUCCUCACCCAGGCCAACGUCCACAAGCCUGCCUCCCUAUUUCACAGAGACUUCCUAGCUUCCCUGCUUCAUCCCCACCUGAUCCAAAUUCUCACAGGUCCCCCAGCCACCCCUUCAGCCCCAGGCCUGCACCAUCCCCAUCCACGUCGUUGUCACAGGCAUCUCCUUCCCCAUUGCCAUCUGUGUCCUUCUGGUCAUUGUUGGGAACGUUGGGGCAAUUGUCACAGGCAUCACCAAAUGAAUCUGUAUCUGA